rnacentral:rRNA from 1 species
GUCCACGCUGUAAACGAUGAGCACUAGGUGUCGUGGGUAUUGACCCCCGCGGUGCCGUAGCUAACGCAUUAAGUGCUCCGCCUGGGGACUACGGCCGCAAGGUUAAAACUCAAAGGAAUUGACGGGGGCCCCGCACAAGCGGUGGAGCAUGUGGUUCAAUUCGACGCAACGCGAAGAACCUUACCUGGGCUAGACAACGGAGGACAGCUCCAGAGAUGGGGUCUUCCCUUCGGGGACCUCCGGUUCAGGUGCUGCAUGGCUGUCGU